rnacentral:rRNA from 1 species
UACGGAGGAUGCGAGCGUUAUCCGGAUUUAUUGGGUUUAAAGGGUGCGUAGGCGGACUGUCAAGUCAGCGGUAAAAUUGAGGGGCUCAACCUCUUCCCGCCGUUGAAACUGGUGGUCUUGAGUGGAUGAGAAGUACGCGGAAUGCGUGGUGUACCGGUGAAAUGCAUAGAUAUCACGCAGAACUCCGAUUGCGAAGGCAGCGUACCGGCAUCCAACUGACGCUGAGGCACGAAAGCGUGGGGAUCAAACAGG